rnacentral:tRNA from 11 species
CGAAGGUUGGGUUCGAACCAUUGACCUUGAGGUCAUAAAAUUCGCGCUUUAACCACUAAGCUCUCUUC